rnacentral:misc_RNA from 1 species
AAAAAAAAAAAAAAAAAAACAAGGCAUCAGGUAAAAACACCACUGAUCUUAACAACAAUAGUUACACUUUUACUGCUUCCAUUUCAAGUUAAACUUGAAUUGGGAUUUUAAUAGAUAGAGAUGUAUCAUCAUCAUCAACACCAAGGAAAGAGCAUCCACUCCUCUGCGAGAAUGCCAAUCCCCCCCGAUAGGCAUUUAUUCCUGCAAGGUGGGAAUGGUCCUGGAGAUUCUGGACUUGUCCUCUCAACUGAUGCAAAGCCUCGACUAAAAUGGACACCAGAUCUCCACGAACGGUUCAUAGAAGCAGUCAAUCAGCUUGGAGGAGCGGACAGUGAGUAUACUAGAAAAACUUAAAAAUCCUAAAUUAAAGUAAAUAAUAGUAAGUUCCGCAUAUUCAACCAUUGUUCUUUUUCCUUGCAGAAGCUACUCCAAAAGCAGUUAUGAAACUUAUGGGGAUUCCAGGACUUACCUUGUAUCAUCUAAAGAGUCAUCUACAGGUAAAUUGUACACCUUCUACAGAAUCUACUUGGAAAUAUUAUCAAUACCAGCUGAUAGAGCUUUCAAAAGUUUUUGUCAGAUUCAAGUCCCAUAAUAUUUGGUAAUCUAGCCAAUCAUGUAACAAAAUAAAUAAAUAACGGAAAUUUGUCCUUUCCAUUAUAGGAUAGGAAGCAAUAUAGCCGGGUGAUUUCACUGUUUCUGUAAUUUUAUAAUGUACACGAUGUCUCAUUUUCUAUUACUGUUAGAAAAAGGGAAAACAUUAAACAAGAGGCAGCCAAAUCUUGUGCCUUGAAGUGUAAUUAGUAAUUAGUAAGAAGCCAAGAAGCCUGAGCAUCAAAGAGCCAAAGAUGCAAAUAUCAUUCAAGAAUACUCUUUCCUUUUAAUAAUUUCAUUAGAUAAUGUGAGGGUAGUUCGGUGUUGAUUUAUUAGUUUUAUAUUCACACGUAUAAAGUUCUAACUCCUGCUUUGUGUCCACAGAAGUACAGGCUCAGCAAGAAUCUUCAUGGACAAGCUAUUUGCAGGAGCAGCAAAAUUGGUAAGGAAGAGUGCAAUGUCAAAAAGUUAAAAUGUUUUCAAAAAUUCACUGGUUAACACUAAAAUAUAACUCACUUGGUACAGGUGCUAAUGCUGUGGAAGGUGAUAGAAUGUCUGAAGCAAAUGUUACUCAUAUAAACAAUAUAAGCAUUGGAUCCCAAACAAACAAGUAUGCAGACUUGAACUGAUUUAUGUUCAUUCAUUUACUUUCUCACAUUGCAAAACAUUUUAAUGAUUAUGCUUAUUUAAAUACAGAAGCUUACACAUCAGUGAAGCACUGCAAAUGCAAAUAGAAGUGCAGAGAAGACUACAAGAGCAACUUGAGGUACAACGACAUUUGCAGCUUCGCAUAGAGGCUCAAGGAAAAUACCUACAAGCUGUGCUAGAGAAAGCACAGGAAACUCUUGGAAGGCAGAAUUUAGGUACUGUGGGACUUGAAGCUGCCAAAGUUCAACUGUCUGAACUAGUAUCCAAAGUAUCCACUCAAUGCCUGAAUUCAGCAUUUUCAGAGCUGAAAGAACUGCAGGGUCUCUGUCCCCAGCAAAUGCAAACAACUCCACCUACAGAUUGUUCAAUGGACAGCUGCCUGACCUCCUGUGAAGGGUCCCAAAAGGAACAAGACAUACACAAUACUGGAAUAAGGGUUAGACCCUAUAAUGGUAAUGCUCUCCUGGAGUCAAAGGAAAUGGCAGAAGAUCACAUGCUGCAUCCAACUGAAUUCAAGUGGGAUGAAAACCUAAAAGAUAACAAAAUGUUCCUUUCCCCAGUGGGAAACACUACAGAAAAGAGAAUUUUUUCUGCAGAAAGAUGCUCCAGUGAUUUAUCCAUGAGAGUUGGACUCCAAGAAGAAAGCGGCAAUACAAGUAGUAGCUUUGCUGAGGGAAGAUAUAAGGGAAGGAAUGAUGAUGACAAUUUUCCUGACCAGACUAACAAGAGGACAGAUUCACUUAAGCUACAGAAUGAGAAUAUUUCACCAGGACAUAGACCGUCUUACUUUGCAACAAAACUAGAUCUCAAUUCCCACGAUGAAAUUGAUGCGGCUUCAAGUUGCAAACAACUUGAAUGGUUUUAGCUGGAACUGAGAUGGUUUACUGGAAGAUAAUGGUUAAUUAGACAAUUUCAGAAGAUGAGGCAUCUUAUUCUGAAUUUACAUCAGAGCAGAAGGAAGGCCAACAGGACGACCUUCCGUGUGCUUGUCCAAGCCAAGCCAAGCCACCAGGAAACAAUCAAUUCAAUCUCAAUGAAAUAAGUUGGACCAACAGAAGUAGAGUGCAUUUAGAACCAUAUAGCGUAAAUGGAUUCAAAAUGUGUACUCUGCUAUCUUAUAUAUCAUAAGAGUUAGAGAAUUAACAGCCCUAAAAAAAUUUGCAGCCAGCUACUCAAAUACUUACUGCAUAAUCAAAAAUUUCAAAUUCAAAUUGACCAAGUAAUCCUAGUUCAUUAUUCAUAAAACAAAUACUCAGCUUACGGGCCUUAAUUCUAUGCACUACUUGAAAUUUCUUCUCUCUUAUUAAUCUCGGAAACACUGUUAACCACCAAUUCAAAGACGUAGCAAUUCAAUCCAUUUCAUGUAUGAGAUAAAAAUUGAUCAUUUUCCUCCCAAUUACUUGGAUAAACAGCUAAACUCCCAGCCUAAAUGACAAUUCACUUCCACAUUCAAUGCAAUGCAGCCCCAAACAAUAAAAUUUCACACGGAACAGCAAACAGCCGGGAAAAUACUUAAUCAAU